rnacentral:pre_miRNA from 1 species
CAAGUACUCCCUCCGUCCAGAAUUACUUGUCAUCAAAAUGGAUGUGUCUAGAACUAAAAUGCAUCUAGAUACAUCCAUUUCAAUGACAAGUAUUUUCGGACGGAGGGAGUACAAG